rnacentral:rRNA from 1 species
AACGAACGCUGGCGGCAGGCCUAACACAUGCAAGUCGAGCGAGGACUUCGGUUCUAGCGGCGGACGGGUGAGUAACGCGUGGGAAUGUGCCCUUCUCUACGGAAUAGCCCUGGGAAACUGGGAGUAAUACCGUAUACGCCCUUUUGGGGAAAGAUUUAUCGGAGCAGGAUCAGCCCGCGUUGGAUUAGGUAGUUGGUGGGGUAAUGGCCUACCAAGCCGACGAUCCAUAGCUGGUUUGAGAGGAUGAUCAGCCACACUGGGACUGAGACACGGCCCAGACUCCUACGGGAGGCAGCAGUGGGGAAUCUUAGACAAUGGGGGCAACCCUGAUCUAGCCAUGCCGCGUGAGUGAUGAAGGCCUUAGGGUUGUAAAGCUCUUUCAGCUGGGAAGAUAAUGACGGUACCAGCAGAAGAAGCCCCGGCUAACUCCGUG